UUUUUUCGCUCAAUAUUUUAGUGCCUAACGUAUCUGAUAACCCUUUAUCUUGCUCUACGCCUCCACUGCCUCCCUCUUGCUCACAGAGAAAACCUUGAUUGAGAGAACCACUUCUAAGCAGGUCUGUGCGGUCUGGGAAGUAUUUCACAAUUUUUCGGACCCAAUCACUCAAAGAUGAAAGGAAACAGUUCGAUUGAUGAAGAUAGCCUUUGGACAUCACAACUUGAGAAACUAUUUAUUGACAUAAUGCUGAAAGAGAUCAAUAAGGGAAAUAUGGCAGAUGGGCAAUUCAGUUCCGAUACUUGGAAGAAAAUGUUAGCUACAUUGAAUGAAUUAGGAUGAAUGUUGAACCAAAUUAUUAUAGCAACUCAUCAUCUUCAGAUGAGGAAGAGGACGAUGAUAUGUUCUUCCUACUAAUGUUUGUUGAGAAUAAAAACAACUAUAUUCCUAAGGAGCCUCAACGUAUCUCUAUGUUGACUGGUGAUGCAUUUAUAAAAGAGAUAUUGAAUGGCAAUCCUCGAACAUGUUAUGAGUUAUUCCGCAUGGAUAGGCCAACAUUUACAAGUCUAUGUAACUAUUUGAGAACACAUAAAUUCUUAACAAACUCACGCUGGAUCACAGUGGAGGAGGCAGUUGGUAUGUUCCUAUUAAUAGUGGGACAUAAUGUGAGGAUGAGGGUAAUAGCAGAUCGUUUUCAACACUCAACUGAGACAGUGGACAGACAAUUUAAGGAAACUGUAAGAGCCAUAUGCCGCCUGGGAAAAUUCAUUAUACGUCCUUCUCAAAGCAAUGAAGUGCAUCCACGUAUUGCUAACAAUACCAAGUUCUUUCCAUAUUUCAAGAAAUGUAUAGGCGCAAUUGAUGGAACAUAUAUUAGUGCAUGGGCUCCAAAAUUAAAGCUAGUCAGCUACAGGAAUAGAAAGGCCACAAUCACCCAUAAUAUAAUGUGUGCAUGUGAUUUUGAUAUGAAGUUUACAUUUGUUUACACGGGUUGGGAGGGUACAACCAAUGACUCACGAGUAUUCUUAGAUGCACUACAAAGGCCAGAAAAUAAUUUCCCAUGGCCUCCAUCUGGUAAGAUAUAUUGUUGCCUCACUUACAUAUUUACAAUUUUCAAGUUUAAUCCAUUCACCAUGUCAUACUUCUCUCUAUCUUAUUAUUUUUUUUGUUAGGUGGCUAUAUUAUUUAGUGGAUUCUGGUUAUCCAUGCACCUUGGGGUUUCUACCUCCGUAUCGUACUGAGAGAUACCAUCUACGAGACUUUCGAGGUGGGGAUCAUCCUGAAGGUGCUAAAGAGCUUUUCAAUUAUAGACAUUCCUCUCUUCGUAAUGUAAUUGAAAGAUGUUUUGGCAUUUUAAAGGCACGAUUUCCAGUCAAAAAUGAUGCCCCGUUAUAAACCAUGUCAACAAGGGAAUGUGAUGAGAGCCUGUUGCACAAUUCAUAACUUCAUUCGAAUGGCAACAAGAAAUGAUCGCUUGUUUACUCAAUUCAAUAUUGAUAACCUUACUGUUGAAGGUGAAGGUAGAGAUAAUUCAGGUGAGCCAUCGCACACUGUUGACUUAACUGAUCAAGCCGUUGAAGCUAUGGCAGCUUAUAGGGAUCAGAUCGUAGGAUUGAUGUUGGCAAAUAAUAGGCAUCAUUGAUGCCACAUUUUUUUUUUUGGAUGAACUUGAUUCCCUGGCAUUGAUGCCAUGUACUAAACUUUUUAGUUAUUGAUUAUCUUUUAUAA